rnacentral:misc_RNA from 1 species
GAUGAAGAACGCAGCGAAAUUCGAUAAGUAAUGUGAAUUGCAGAAUUCAGUGAAUCAUCGAAUCUUUGAACGCACAUUGCGCCCCUUGGUAUUCCGAGGGGCAUGCCUGUUCGAGCGUCAUUAUAACCCUCAAGCUCAGCUUGGUGUUGGGGCCUGCUGCACUGGCAGCCCUUAAAAUCAGUGGCGGCGCCAUCUGGCUCUAAGCGUAGUAAUUCUUCUCGCUAUGGAGUCCUGGUGGAUGCUUGCCAUCAACCCCCAAUUUUUCUAUGGUUGACCUCGGAUCAGGUAGGGAUACCCGCUGAACUUAAGCAUAUCAAUAAGCGGAGGA